GACGAACGCUGGCGGCGUGCUUAACACAUGCAAGUCGAACGGAAAGGCCUCAGCUUGCUGGGGUACUCGAGUGGCGAGCGGGUGAGUAACACGUGGGUGAUCUGCCUUGCACUCUGGGAUAAGCUUGGGAAACUGGGUCUAAUACCGGAUAUGAACUGCCUUUAGUGUGGUGGUUGGAAAGUUUUUUCGGUGCAAGAUGAGCUCGCGGCCUAUCAGCUUGUUGGUGGGGUAAUGGCCUACCAAGGCGUCGACGGGUAGCCGGCCUGAGAGGGUGUACGGCCACAUUGGGACUGAGAUACGGCCCAGACUCCUACGGGAGGCAGCAGUGGGGAAUAUUGCACAAUGGGCGGAAGCCUGAUGCAGCGACGCCGCGUGGGGGAGGACGGCCUUCGGGUUGUAAACUCCUUUCGACAGGGACGAAGCUUUUUGUGACGGUACCUGUAUAAGAAGCACCGGCUAACUACGUG
rnacentral:rRNA from 1 species